rnacentral:rRNA from 1 species
UAGCAUAAUCMUUAGUUUUUUAAUUGAGAACUGGAAUGAAAGGUUAAAUAAAAAAUAAUCUUUAUUAUUUUUAAAAUAUUUGAAUUUGUUUUUUUAGUAAAAAAACUAAAAUAAAAUAAAAAGACGAUAAGACCCUAUAAAGCUUUAUAAUAUAAAGUUUAAUAGUUUAUUAGAAUAUUAUAACUAUUUUUUUUUUGUUAUUUAAUUGGGGUGAUUUAAAGAUUUGAAAAACUCUUUAAUUUAAAUGUUUCAUUUUUAAAUGUUUUUUGAUCCUUAAAAUUUUAAGAGUAUAAAAAUAAGUUACUUUAGGGAUAACAGCGUAAUUUUUUUGAAGAGUUCUAAUCGAUAAAAAAGAUUGCGACCUCGAUGUUGAAUUAAGAUAAAUUUUAGGUGUAGAAGUUUAAAUUUU